GUGCUCACUUUGACAGCACAUAUACUAAAAUUAGAAUGAUACAGAGAAGAUUGGCAUAGCUCCUUCACAAGGAUGAUAUGCAAACUCACGAAACAUUCCAUAUUAUU